UACGGGGGGAGCAAGCGUUGUUCGGAUUUACUGGGCGUAAAGGGCGCGUAGGCGGUCGUGACAAGUCACUUGUGAAAUCUCCGGGCUUAACUCGGAACGGUCAAGUGAUACUGUCGGACUAGAGUACAGAAGGGGCAACUGGAAUUCUCGGUGUAGCGGUGAAAUGCGUCGAUAUCGAGAGGAGCACCUGCGGCGAAGGCGGGUUGCUGGGCUGAUACUGACGCUGAGGCGCGAAAGCCAGGGGAGCGAACGGG
rnacentral:rRNA from 1 species